AUGUGUGUGUAUUAGUGUACGGUAUGGCGCCAGUGGUUUCAAGGUUAGGAAGAGUCUAGCAGUAAGAUUCAGAUUAAACGAAGUAACCACACGGCUA